rnacentral:rRNA from 1 species
AGCAGCCGCGGUAAUUCCAGCUCCAAUAGCGUAUAUUAAAGUUGUUGCAGUUAAAAAGCUCGUAGUUAAAUUUCGGGAUCAAAUUGUCAGUCGUGCCUCGGUACGCACUGGCAUUAUUGGUUCCUCCCUUCUGAAGAAUUGCGAUGUCAUUAAUUUGGUGUCACGGGGGAUCAGGACUGUUACUUUGAAAAAUUAGAGUGUUUAAAGCGAGCUCGCGCUUGAAUACAUUAGCAUGGAAUAAUGAAAUAGGACGUUUGAUUCUAUUUUGUUGGUUUCUAGGAUCGACGUAAUGAUUAAUAGGGAUAGUUGGGGGCAUUAGUAUUCAAUUGUCAGAGGUGAAAUUCUUGGAUUUAUUGAAG